rnacentral:pre_miRNA from 17 species
UAAAAACAUUUUCUUUGUCAUUAUGUCAUUUUUUGACACCACAGAGGGGUGUCUUCCUCAGGAAAAAAAAAACCUGAGGAAGACACCCCUCUGUGGUAUCGAAAUGUUGACAUAAUAAAGAAAAUGUUU